rnacentral:rRNA from 1 species
AGAGUUUGAUCCUGGCUCAGGACGAACGCUGGCGGCGUGCCUAACACAUGCAAGUCGAGCGGAGAACACCAGAUGUUUACAUCGAAGUGUUCUUAGCGGCGGACGGGUGAGUAACACGUGGGUAACCUGCCUCGAAGUGGGGGAUAGCCUUUCGAAAGGAAGAUUAAUACCGCAUAAGCUUGUAGCAUCGCAUGGUGCAGCAAGAAAAGGAGCAAUCCGCUUCGAGAUGGACCCGCGGCGCAUUAGCUAGUUGGUGAGGUAACGGCUCACCAAGGCCACGAUGCGUAGCCGACCUGAGAGGGUGAUCGGCCACAUUGGAACUGAGACACGGUCCAGACUCCUACGGGAGGCAGCAGUGGGGAAUAUUGCACAAUGGGCGAAAGCCUGAUGCAGCAACGCCGCGUGAGUGAUGAAGGCCCUCGGGUCGUAAAGCUCUUUGAUCAGGGAUGAUAAUGACAGUACCUGAAAAACAAGCCACGGCUAACUACGUGCCAGCAGCCGCGGUAAUACGUAGGUGGCGAGCGUUGUCCGGAAUUACUGGGCGUAAAGGAUGCGUAGGUGGAUAUUUAAGUGGGAUGUGAAAUCCCCGGGCUCAACCCGGGAACUGCAUUCCAAA